CCUGACCCCAUGCCGAACUCAGCAGUGAAACCGCUCAGCGCCGAUGGUAGUGUGGGGCUUCCCCAUGCGAGAGUAGGUCAUCGUCAGGC
rnacentral:rRNA from 1 species